GCACGCCGCCUCCGCCCGCCCUCCCUGUGCAGUUUGAGGCCUGACUCCUGGGUCACAAGGCCACCCCAAUUUCCUCUGCAAACAAGUGCCCUCCCCGGCAGCCAGCUUACCGCGCCCAGGCCCUGCUGGCCCCCUCACACCCUUCUCUUCAUUCCUGGGGUUUGGUGGGUUCCCGGGUCGUCGAAGGCAUUCAUGAACCCACUUCUCAGACGGGGACACGGAGGCUCUUGCUGAAUCCCAGGUCAUGUGGCAAUGUAGGGGCCCCCUCUGCGCCCACCUCCUACGACCCCCCAAGUCCUUCCCACACCCACCUCUACAACGCCCCUCCCUGCCCCACCCCCGUGUCCCCGUCCCCGGCUCCCUGGCCAUCCUCACACCCACCCCCCAGCAGUCCGCAACAAGCUUCUGAGUGAAGACCCGUGUUUAAAUAAGAAAUGGUCCUUGGACGGCCUGGGUCCCUUUAAGAGCCUGAAUCAAGAGAGGAGAGGAACCCCCGUGGAGACAGAUGACGGGUCGAGCAGAUAUUGGAAGAUGGAAAUCGAUGGGGCAGGAAAGCCAAGGUUCGCUGAGCGUUCAAGGACCAGCUGGACCCUGCGCUGGACUCUGGGCUGGGGUCCCUCCAAGCCCCCUAAGAGGGGUUCCACCGCUGGGCCCAUUUUAAAGAUGAGCCACAGAGAGGUUGAGUCAUUUGCUCCAAGGUCACAGAGACACCGCGGAAGAAGCUGGAGGGUGGGACUGGGGGAGCACCCCCCCCCCGGAGGGGGGGCUGAGACCCCCAAGUGGCUGCUCCUAGAUGAGGCUGGGGUCCCCAGAGUCGAGGUGCCUGGGAGCUGUGCUCAGGACCAGCCAACAGCUUGGGGCACACGGGACAGGGCCAGCCCCACCCCCUGCCGUGGUUGGGAGGCUCUCAAGUUGGAGGGGGGCCCACCACCCCUCAGGGAGCCUUGGAGCAGGAACAGCUGCCCCACCCCUGCCCUGAGGCCAGCCCCAGACGAGGAGCAAAGCCAGGGGAACCUUCUGACUUGGCUCCUGCUGAUUCCAUGGGCCCGCCCUCCCUUCUCAAGUUCCAAGCCCAGAGCAGAUCACACGCCUCCUCAUGACGGGAGAGGGCACACAUGGAGAGGGAGCUGAGAGGCUCUGGGGACAGCGGGGGGGGCACACGAGCCUCCCCAGGGGCCUGGACCAACCCGAUCUUGUCUUCAGGUCAUUGCAACCGAAUUCCCUGGAUUUUUGCUGUCCUCUGCUUCCCACAGGGCGCUGCUCACAGGUGGGCAGGGGUCCAGCUCCUGCAGCCACUGCCCUCCCCUCCACCUGGCCACCCCUCCCACUGCCGGGCAGCAGGAGAAGGGAAGAGGUGGCAGCCCCAGCCAGGGGCAUGUCACCACAGGGCCUCCUCCCAAAGAUAGGUGGUCACUCCCAGAAGCAGCCACCUGUGCACGAUGGCAGCUGAGACCCUGGGUGGGGCAGAUGGGCAGCGGCAGACUGCGGUGCUGGGUGGGUCCCCACCUGGGCGGGUCGCCACCCUCUGUUGUGCCCACGGCAACUUUUUUUUUAAUUAAAAUAUAGUUGAUUUACAA